GAUGAACGCUGGCGGCGUGCCUAAUACAUGCAAGUCGAGCGAACGGACGAGAAGCUUGCUUCUCUGAUGUUAGCGGCGGACGGGUGAGUAACACGUGGAUAACCUACCUAUCAGACUGGGAUAACUUCGGGAAACCGUAGCUAAUACCGGAUAAUAUUUUGAACCGCAUGGUUCAAAAGUGAAAGACGGUCUUGCUGUCACUUAUAGAUGGAUCCGCGCUGCAUUAGCGAGUUGGUAAGGUAACGGCUUACCAAGGCAACGAUGCAUAGCCGACCUGAGAGGGUGAUCGGCGACACUGGAACUGAGACACGGUCCAGACUCCUACGGGAGGCAGCAGUAGGGAAUCUUCCGCAAAGGGCGAAAGCCUGACGGAGCAACGCCGCGUGAGUGAUGAAGGUCUUCGGAUCGUAAAACUCUGUUAUUAGGGAAGAACAUAUGUGUAAGUAACUGUGCACAUCUUGACGGUACCUAAUCAGAAAGCCACGGCUAACUACGUG
rnacentral:rRNA from 1 species